rnacentral:rRNA from 1 species
UACGGGGGGGGCAAGCGUUGUUCGGAAUUACUGGGCGUAAAGGGCUCGUAGGUGGCCAACUAAGUCGGACGUGAAAUCCCUCGGCUUAACCGGGGAACUGCGUCUGAUACUGGAUGGCUUGAGUUCGGGAGAGGGAUGCGGAAUUCCAGGUGUAGCGGUGAAAUGCGCAGAUAUCAGGAAGAACACCCGUGGCGAAGGCGGUUCUCUGGGACGGUACUGACGCUGAGACGCGAAAGCGUGGGGAGCGAACAGG